ensembl:lncRNA
CCAGAAAUGCAUUGUUCAGCACUGUCUGGGCAGUGCACCUGCACCUGUGUGCUGGAACUGCCACCAAGGAAACCUUCCUGCAGACCUGCUUCUCAUUACAUACCCAGAUCAACAUGCUCUUUGGAAUGACAUAGGAUCUGGCCAGCUCCCUCUCCUGCGCUGCUGUACCCUGAGGCAGAUCACACAUGUUGUAACCACACUGAAAAUAUUUCCUGAAGAACAGCAGGAGAAGGAGUGGGAGAAAUGCAGGCAAGAACUUACAGUGGGGAAGGAAAGCUUUUACAACCGGUAUAAAAAUUUCACCCACUCGUAUACCAGUCGAAAUUACAAAGUGAUUAAAGAAGAAGUGCUCUUCAAGAAUAAACAUGACCAAAAGCAGUUUCAUGGAAGUCCAGCUGGACAAAGAACCCACGCAGUGGAGGGAACCGAGCCCCACGUUUGAAGUUUACAGCUCACAGUAAAGCGUCUGCUCAGAAAAUGCAGCAGCUCUGCCUGAGCUCUCCGAUUCAUGGUUCCAGCUGCAGCCGUGCCAACGCAGGUGUCUCUUCACAGCUGGAAGAAGGAAGCAGAGGGUGCAGUACCACCUCAAUAGCUGACCCCUA